rnacentral:lncRNA from 10 species
AAAUGGGCUUCAGAGUCUGAUGGAUCUGGGUGACUGGGCAAGUUCUUUAGCUUGUCAAACCUUCAUUUCUCUAAUUUAUAACAUAAGGACAGUACCUUCUUCCUGUCAAGGUUGAGGCAAGCAUUAGUGAGAAACGUCUCAAGGCCUGGUUCACAUUAAAGGUCAAAAAAGAGAGAAAACAUCACUGUUCUCUUCAGCAGAACUUUUGUCAGUGUGAUCGAGAAUUGUCUCAAGUGACAAGUGAGCUGACCAGGGAACCCUGGGUGGCAGGUACUAUUGGCACCAUUUUCCAGAUAAAGAAAAUGAAGUUCUAAGCAGUCAAAUGACAUGUCAAGAUCACCCAACUGAGACUACUGCCCUUCAUUGAUUGAUGUCCGGUGCCUGGAAAGCCAUGGUUUUAUGCAGUUUGUGGAUUUUUUAUUUUUUUUCUUUAUUUGAAAUGGGAAGGAUCACAUUACAUCGAACAGAAACUGUUUUACCUUGCUUGCAAGGAGGUGGAGGCCUCCUUGCCCCCAAGUGUGGUGCCACUUCCGGGUUCCUUGAGCACUUCCAGGUUAUCAGCCCAGCUCUCCUCCAGUUUCUGGGGCUGCUGAAGAAGCUGUUGGGG